GGGGGGGGGGGGGGGGCAAUCUAUAGCGAUGCAAACCGUGGAUGCAGUCUUCUUCUCCUGCCGAUGUUUUCGCGUCAGGAAUCACAAGGGCCCCACUGCAUUCAGUUUUUGAUGGUAAAUCAAAAGUCAAGUGACACAUGAAUACGUGUGUGGGCUUGGAACACUGAAGAAAGCCUCACGUCUCACGAUCCUUUGGCCUUGUGCUUUCUAAGGCUCUCAUUCAAGCCCUUCGAGAAGGCUGGCCUCUAUCAGCAACUCACGGCCAUGCAGGUGGAGGGAUUACACACCCUGCAAGAGCUACCCUUACAGGUUUUCGGUAUUGCGAAACAUUGCAAGAAACUAACAGCCUUGGCAUGAAUCUCCUCCAUAUCUUCGAGAAAAUCGCAACCCCACUUCGGGAAUUGACUGUUUCAAACUUGGGUCCUCCGUCAAAACGCAAGAUUCAUCGUUGUGUUUGCAGUUCUGUGGGAUCGGGGUACUCGAACUGCGAAGACGGGUAUAGGGGGGUCUAUCUUGCUUGACGGCGAGACGGGUAUAGGAGUCUCUAGGGGUGGUCUUAGGAACGGAAUGAACGAGAAAAGCAACAAUGGAUUAAUGAAAAGAACAACACCGUGGAGCAUUGGGAGGGCCACGUGUCCUCUCCACAACUAUGAUUCCGCGGUGCGGUGCAGGUGGACUUUGAACUGAAGGUACUGUCUGAGAAUGUGUGGUCAUCGGUGCCCGCUUGAUGAUGGCCGUGGUAGGUAGGAACAUGAAGGGCACCAUGUGGACAGAAUUCGUGGAAGAAUAUGGCUUGGUCCUUCUGACCUUCGAGGUCUCCUCUACUGUUCCAACGUGGAAAACAUCCUCCUCAGAAUCGUUACGCACUAACGUAAAUGUAUUUUUGUUUAUAUAACAUCUGAAUACGUAUAAUGGUGGUACAAAUUUUAGCCCAAGUAACCUUAGAAAAACUACCUUGUGCGUGUACACAAAAAUAUGAUGUAUAAUUAGUUUGAAGUCUCAUGUGAAGAAUGCCAUUUGGAGUACAAAAGAGUGAAAUAAAUGUAAUGUUGGGCCA